rnacentral:rRNA from 1 species
CUAUACAUGCAAGUCGAGCGAACAGACGAGGAGCUUGCUCCUUUGACGUUAGCGGCGGACGGGUGAGUAACACGUGGGUAACCUACCUAUAAGACUGGGAUAACUUCGGGAAACCGGAGCUAAUACCGGAUAAUAUUUUGAACCGCAUGGUUCAAUAGUGAAAGAUGGUUUUGCUGUCACUUAUAGAUGGACCCGCGCCGCAUUAGCUAGUUGGUAAGGUAACGGCUUACCAAGGCAACGAUGCGUAGCCGACCUGAGAGGGUGAUCGGCCACACUGGAACUGAGACACGGUCCAGACUCCUACGGGAGGCAGCAGUAGGGAAUCUUCCGCAAUGGGCGAAAGCCUGACGGAGCAACGCCGCGUGAGUGAUGAAGGUCUUCGGAUCGUAAAACUCUGUUAUUAGGGAAGAACAAAUGUGUAAGUAACUAUGCACGUCUUGACGGUACCUAAUCAGAAAGCCACGGCUAACUACGUGCCAGCAGCCGGCCGGUAAUAAA